rnacentral:rRNA from 1 species
GCUCAGAUUGAACGCUGGCGGCAGGCCUAACACAUGCAAGUCGGGCGGUAACACAGGAAGCUUGCUUCCGGGUGACGAGCGGCGGACGGGUGAGUAAUGUCUGGGAAACUGCCUGAUGGAGGGGGAUAACUACUGGAAACGGUAGCUAAUACCGCAUAACGUCGCAAGACCAAAGAGGGGGACCUUCGGGCCUCUUGCCAUCAGAUGUGCCCAGAUGGGAUUAGCUAGUAGGUGGGGUAAUGGCUCACCUAGGCGACGAUCCCUAGCUGGUCUGAGAGGAUGACCAGCCACACUGGAACUGAGACACGGUCCAGACUCCUACGGGAGGCAGCAGUGGGGAAUAUUGCACAAUGGGCGCAAGCCUGAUGCAGCCAUGCCGCGUGUAUGAAGAAGGCCUUCGGGUUGUAAAGUACUUUCAGCGAGGAGGAAGGCAUCAAGGCUAAUAACCUUGGUGAUUGACGUUACUCGCAGAAGAAGCACCGGC